UGGCACUUAUUAAUGUUUUUCCUUAAUUUCAGUUGUUGACUAGAUGACCAUCACUACAAAAAAUGAGAGGCCUAAGAGAUUUUAGAUUCUUACAGAGGCGAAUAGAAGACUGGUUGUCCAAGAAGAUUGUUGCCUUUUUCUUUAACAUUUUUAGUUAUUGCAGUAGUCCUCGGAGGACCAUCCCCAGGAGCUCCUUGCUCCUCUCUUCUCCACAAACUAAACACCUUUCGAAUCUCUCCAAUCAGUUUCAUUCCCUUGUCAAUGAAUCCUCCAUCAAGUUGGCUCCUGGCCAGGUGUCUCUAUUCCAUCUGAGUUCUUCUCCCUUUCAAAGAUUUGGUUUUGCUUCUUCUGCGUCCCCCGAGACUUCUGAAAAAGAACAUGGGAGUAAUUCAGAGAAUAAUGGAGAUGCUAAAGUCUCCAGUCAAGCCACCUCUGAGCAGAGUGAUGUUGCUGAUCAGACAAAAGAAUCAGAUGAUCUGGUGAAACUUGUGGCUGAGAAGGAAGAGCUUUUGAAGCAGAAGCAUAAAGAGAUUGAGAAAAUGCAAGAUAAAGUCCUCAGAAGCUAUGCAAAAAUGGAGAAUGUCAUGAACAGGACACGACGUGAAGCAGAGAACUCGAAAAAAUUUGCCAUUCAGACAAUUUGAGACGAGCUUCUUCAGUUGUCAAAGAAAGUUUUUCAAAGAUUGACACAUCUAAGGAUUCAUCUGGGGCUGCUCCACUUUUAAAAACACUUCUAGAGGGUGUUGAAAUGACAGAAAAACAACUUGUAGAGUGUGGUGGGAAAAAUACAUAUACACUUGGCGAAAUUAAUGAAAUUCGAAAUGAAUAGGCAACCAAGCUUCUUGAGCGGACGAGUCAUAGCUAGAGUAACUUUUGAAAUCAUAAUUAAAAAAUAUACUAAUUGUAGUUUUUAGUUAGCACUUACAUAGUUAUUCCAAGUCUAUAUUUUGAUCUUGCAAUUUUUAGAUUUUGAACAUACUGAGUUAUAUUGAUUUUGUCUGCCUAUUGAUUCUAUUUGAACUAUGUUGUAAUUACACAGGAAAUUAUGAAUGAAUAUAGUAUUGAAAAUAGAGAAAUGAAAAAAUUAUCAUAUUUUACAUGGGACGUCGGUCUCCACAAAACUGUCGUCUUAUGUAUUGCAGGGGACGAUGUUUACACAUAAAUUGUCAUCUCAUGUACUGCAGGAGGAUGACGCUUGAGUAGGAACUGUCAUCUCAUUUACUGCAGUGGAUGACGUUUACACAUAAACUGUCGUCUCAUGUACUACAAGAGAGAACGUUUGUAUAGGAACUAUUGUCUCAUGUAUGACGGGAGAUGACACUUUUAUUUAAACUGUUGUUUCAU